rnacentral:rRNA from 1 species
UACGUAGGGUGCAAGCGUUGUCCGGAAUUAUUGGGCGUAAAGAGCUCGUAGGCGGUCUGUCGCGUCGGAUGUGAAAAUCCAGGGCUUAACCCUGGGCCUGCAUUCGAUACGGGCAGACUAGAGUUCGGUAGGGGAGACUGGAAUUCCUGGUGUAGCGGUGAAAUGCGCAGAUAUCAGGAGGAACACCGGUGGCGAAGGCGGGUCUCUAGGCCGACACUGACGCUGAGGAGCGAAAGCGUGGGGAGCAAACAGG